rnacentral:rRNA from 1 species
CUACACAUGCAAGUCGAGCGGUAGAGAGAAGCUUGCUUCUCUUGAGAGCGGCGGACGGGUGAGUAAUGCCUAGGAAUCUGCCUGGUAGUGGGGGAUAACGUUCGGAAACGGACGCUAAUACCGCAUACGUCCUACGGGAGAAAGCAGGGGACCUUCGGGCCUUGCGCUAUCAGAUGAGCCUAGGUCGGAUUAGCUAGUUGGUGAGGUAAUGGCUCACCAAGGCGACGAUCCGUAACUGGUCUGAGAGGAUGAUCAGUCACACUGGAACUGAGACACGGUCCAGACUCCUACGGGAGGCAGCAGUGGGGAAUAUUGGACAAUGGGCGAAAGCCUGAUCCAGCCAUGCCGCGUGUGUGAAGAAGGUCUUCGGAUUGUAAAGCACUUUAAGUUGGGAGGAAGGGUUGUAGAUUAAUACUCUGCAAUUUUGACGUUACCGACAGAAUAAGCACCGGCUAACUCUGUGCCAGCAGCCGCGGUAAUACAGAGGGUGCAAGCGUUAAUCGGAAUUACUGGGCGUAAAGCGCGCGUAGGUGGUUCGUUAAGUUGGAUGUGAAAGCCCCGGGCUCAACCUGGGAACUGCAUUCAAAACUGACGAGCUAGAGUAUGGUAGAGGGUGGUGGAAUUUCCUGUGUAGCGGUGAAAUGCGUAAAUAUAGGAAGGAACACCAGUGGCGAAGGCGACCACCUGGACUGAUACUGACACUGAGGUGCGAAAGCGUGGGGAGCAAACA